AAACCAACUGGGAUUACCUUAGUAACGGCGAGUGAAGCGGUAAAAGCUCAAAUUUGAAAUCUGGUACUUUCAGUGCCCGAGUUGUAAUUUGUAGAAUUUGUCUUUGAUUAGGUCCUUGUCUAUGUUCCUUGGAACAGGACGUCAUAGAGGGUGAGAAUCCCGUUUGGCGAGGAUACCUUUUCUUUGUAAGACUUUUUCGAAGAGUCGAGUUGUUUGGGAAUGCAGCUCAAAGUGGGUGGUAAAUUCCAUCUAAAGCUAAAUAUUGGCGAGAGACCGAUAGCGAACAAGUACAGUGAUGGAAAGAUGAAAAGAACUUUGAAAAGAGAGUGAAAAAGUACGUGAAAUUGUUGAAAGGGAAGGGCAUUUGAUCAGACAUGGUGUUUUUGCAUGCACUCGCCUCUCGUGGGCUUGGGCCUCUCAAAAAUUUCACUGGGCCAACAUCAAUUCUGGCAGCAGGAUAAAUCAUUAAGAAUGUAGCUACUUCGGUAGUGUUAUAGCUUUUUGGAAUACUGUUAGCCGGGAUUUGA
rnacentral:rRNA from 1 species